GGAGUUAGCCGGUGCUUCUUCUGCGAGUAACGUCACAGAUGUAAGGUAUUAACUUACACCCUUUCCUCCUCGCUGAAAGUGCUUUACAACCCGAAGGCCUUCUUCACACACGCGGCAUGGCUGCAUCAGGGUUUCCCCCAUUGUGCAAUAUUCCCCACUGCUGCCUCCCGUAGGAGUCUGGGCCGUGUCUCAGUCCCAGUGUGGCUGAUCAUCCUCUCAGACCAGCUAGGGAUCGUCGCCUAGGUGAGCCUUUACCUCACCUACUAGCUAAUCCCACCUGGGCUUAUCCAUCAGCGCAAGGCCCGAAGGUCCCCUGCUUUCCCCCGUAGGGCGUAUGCGGUAUUAGCAGUCGUUUCCAACUGUUAUCCCCCACAAAUGGGCAAAUUCCCAGGCAUUACUCACCCGUCCGCCGCUCGUCAUCUUCAAACGACAAGACUUUAGUAAUAGUUACCGUACUCGUACUUACGUCAUGUGUUAGGUCCGUCGCCGCCGACGCGUUCUAACUACUGAGCCACUAGAUACAAACUACUGA
rnacentral:rRNA from 1 species